GACGAACGCUGGCGGCGUGCUUAACACAUGCAAGUCGAACGGGUCUGCCUUGUUUUUUGCGGGGUGGGUCAGUGGCGAACGGGUGAGUAACACGUGAGUAACCUGCCCCUCACUUCUGGAUAACCGCUUGAAAGGGUGGCUAAUACGGGGUGUUCUGGCUGUGCCGCAUGGUGUGGCUGGGAAAGAUUCACUUUUGUGGUGUUUUGGUGGGGGAUGGGCUCGCGGCCUAUCAGCUUGUUGGUGGGGUGAUGGCCUGCCAAGGCUUUGACGGGUAGCCGGCCUGAGAGGGUGGGCGGUCACACUGGGACUGAGAUACGGCCCAGACUCCUGCGGGAGGCAGCAGUGGGGGGUAUUGCACAAUGGGCGGAAGCCUGAUGCAGCGACGUCGCGUGAGGGAUGGAGGCCUUCGGGUUGUGAACCUCUUUCGCCGGUGAAGAAGGUCCUGUUCUUUGUGGUGGGGCUGACGUA
rnacentral:rRNA from 1 species